UGUCGGCGAGCGUAUCGCCACUAGGACUCAGCCGAAAAAUUACUAAAAAAAUCGCCAAAAAUUACUUCGAGCAAAGGGCACUUGGCGGAGUUUCGCCAGGGUUGGCGCAGCCGGUGAAUAACAACAAAAUGAAGACCAUAUAAAACAAGCCCCCUACUUAGCCCUGCAAUUCUUACCUUAAUGACAACUUUCUAACCUCCCCUGACCCCCAACACAUUGAAGUUUGAUGUUAAUUUAGUCCAUUUUAGAGCAAAAAUAAUGUCAUUGCCUUGGGUAAGUUUUCUGUUUUGGAAAGGAUUUUACAGCCAGGCUGUAUCAUCUCUAAAUCUGAGAAUCAUAAUUUUAAACCCUUUUCCUUCAAAGGAAUUUAUAAAUAAGUAGUGGUCUUUUUUAUUAUCAUCAUUAUUCAGGUUUAUUGACAGUUAUUUUAUGGUUUUAUAAAGUGGAAGUGUCCUCUCCACUGGAGAAAUAGUUUUUUUCAUUUAUCUGUUUUUACAUUUUACUAGAUUACACUUCUGACUUCUUUGUGACGUGCUUAAAAUUUAGCUGUUAAACUUCAAGAGGUGGGAAAAACAGGAAGGCAAUCCCUUUUCCUUCCUUUUAUAUAUACACAUGCACACCUCUUAGAAUAAGAAACAUUUUUACCCUGAUUCAUUUUACUUUUGAGAAACUUGUAAAUGCUAAGGGAAUAAUUCUAAUAGGUUAGCUGAAAUUAAUAUCAUACCCCUAGAAAAACUGUCAAAAACAAGGUUAUGGUAAAUACACAAGAUACUUAUUUCCCUAAAUUUGAGACCCUAAAAUCAGUUACCAAAAAGAUUCAUUUCCAUGUAUUCCUUCAGCUAAUUUACAUCUCUAAAUAAAAGAAACUCAACUGCUACUGUUUCUGUUCUUGAUAUUGAGGGAUGGCCCUGUUUAAAUGAAAACUAGUGCUUCAGGUGCUUCUCUUACAUUACCUCAUACCAUUGCAUUAGUGACCCAGUAAUAAUGUGUAUUAUUAUUAAAUAAUGUGUAUGUGUCAAGGAGUGACUUUAUGAUCAUAGAUCAGCCAUUGAGCUCAAUUAAGUAGUUUUUAGGGUGUGAAUCAAUUAAAUAUUGAAAAUUUGUAGUAAUGAGCCAGUUUGAAGAAUAGUAACCAAAUGCCACUGAUCACUUCUUUUUAUAAUUUUUUCCCUUUAUAUUUUUGUUGCUGGAAAACUAGAAUGGAAACAUUUGCAAAUCCCCAAAGAAUCCUAUAUAAUCCAGGCUUGGCUUUCUUAAUUGGUCCCUUGGAAGCCAGCUCAGCUUUUCUUCAACUUAAAUCUCAGAAAAAGAAAUCUUUUCAGUUGGUAUUGCAGUCUUACUGUAGACUGGAGGGCAGUCCACUUUUCAAAAAGAAAUAGGUAUCAUUAAUUUCCAACAGAUUUAUAAGUACAGAUAACAUCACAUUCUUAAGCUCAUUUCAUCUCCUUUAUAAAUUUCUAAGCAAGCAGCCUUGCUUGGAUACUCUCCAGCAUCUUUUAAAAUAGGUCAUUUGUGGUAUUUCAUAGUUGAAAUGCUUACUCUUGUCUCUUCUAUGUAAUAUGCCUGGAGUUACUUUUAAUCUUAGAUACUAGAAUAGCGUUGUUUCCAAUUAAACAAUACCCAGAAGAAUAGGCACAUAGUGACAGUGGUCAUUGAUUCUUCAUGAUUGUGUGUGUAUUCCGUCUUUCUCUCUUUUAUGUUUAUUUUACACUAUUGUUUCUUUUUUUAAUAUUUGUUUAUUUGUUUGUUUAUUUGGC